rnacentral:rRNA from 1 species
UACGAAGGGGGCUAGCGUUGUUCGGAAUUACUGGGCGUAAAGCGCGCGUAGGCGGACCAUCAAGUCGGAGGUGAAAUCCUGAAGCUUAACUUCAGAACUGCCUUCGAUACUGUUGGUCUUGAGGUCGGGAGAGGUGAGUGGAACUGCGAGUGUAGAGGUGAAAUUCGUAGAUAUUCGGAGGAACACUAGUGGCGAAGGCGGCUCACUGGCUCGACACUGACGCUGAGGUGCGAAAGCGUGGGGAGCAAACAGG